rnacentral:lncRNA from 1 species
CUCAGUUCAAACUCAUGAGAUGUGAGCUUUGGUUGCGGAGGCCCUUGCUUCUCUUUAGAGAAAGCUACUCAAAGAAAUGAUCUCUUCCUGGAUGUUGUGGUCCACGAAUAUUAUGUCUGGAACAUCAGAGCCAUCUUGUCUCCAUGAUGGGAGUUCCAUCUAAAGACAAAGUCAAAACCCAGCAGAGGACACAGCUGAAGGAACACGAGAAAGUGGCAUGGAAACGCUGGAGCCCCAGCACCGGCAGACCUCAGUUAUUGGGGCCAAUCAACCUCUUGUUACUGUUCAAGCGAGUUUGGAAACGUUGUCAGAGACCCACAACAGAAAACAACUCAAACAGCUCAUACCUAAAGACUCCUACAUGGCUUUGA